rnacentral:rRNA from 1 species
AUACGGAGGGUCCAAGCGUUAUCCGGAAUCAUUGGGUUUAAAGGGUCCGUAGGCGGGCAAUUAAGUCAGAGGUGAAAGCCCACAGCUCAACUGUGGAACUGCCUUUGAUACUGGUUGCCUUGAAUUAUAGUUAAGUAGAUAGAAUGUGUAGUGUAGCGGUGAAAUGCAUAGAUAUUACACAGAAUACCGAUUGCGAAGGCAGUCUACUAACUAUAUAUUGACGCUGAUGGACGAAAGCGUGGGGAGCGAACAGGAUUAGAAACCCCAGUAGUCC